rnacentral:rRNA from 1 species
GGCUCAGAUUGAACGCUGGCGGCAUGCCUUACACAUGCAAGUCGAACGGUAACGGGCCUUCGGGUGCCGACGAGUGGCGAACGGGUGAGUAAUGUAUCGGAACGUACCUUUCAGUGGGGGAUAACGUAGCGAAAGUUACGCUAAUACCGCAUAUUCUGUGCGCAGGAAAGCAGGGGAUCGCAAGACCUUGCGCUGAUUGAGCGGCCGAUAUCAGAUUAGCUAGUUGGUGAGGUAAAGGCUCACCAAGGCGACGAUCUGUAGCGGGUCUGAGAGGAUGAUCCGCCACACUGGAACUGAGACACGGUCCAGACUCCUACGGGAGGCAGCAGUGGGGAAUUUUGGACAAUGGGGGCAACCCUGAUCCAGCCAUGCCGCGUGAGUGAAGAAGGCCUUCGGGUUGUAAAGCUCUUUCGGCCGGGAAGAAAUCGUAUCAGCUAAUACCUGGUGCGGAUGACGGUACCGGCAUAAGAAGCACCGGCUAACUACGUG